GCGGGCUGAGGUAGUAGAUUGUAUAGUUGGAGGGUCACACCCGUCUCGGAGAUAACUAUACAGUCUACUGUCUUCCUCGC
rnacentral:pre_miRNA from 1 species